AUAUCAUCAUUCACAAACAAAUUAUAACUUCUUUAGCUACACAAAAGAAAAAAAAAACUAUGUACAAACAAAAAAAUUACCAUGUUAAGGAAGAGAAUUCUUCAAAGAAUAAGGAGGAACUCAAGGUACAUAAACUAAUUGAUGCUCCUCCAUAUCCAAGUAUUACUUACACAUCGAAUGGAUUCGAGGCUUUUAGGCCCGAAAAAGAAAGUAAUGUAAGGAAGGAAAGGCAAGAGUAUCGAUGGAGUAGCAAUGGAUAUGCUAAUCGAGAAGAGAAUAGCUAUGCAAAAAUCGCGUAUGAAGAAGAAGAAGAUGUUGAUGUUGAAGCAAAUAACUUCAUCAAAUGGGAGCAUGAUAAGUUUAAUCGUGCUAAAUUGAUGUCCAUGGAGUCCUUUUACUGAUGACUUAGAAACUUAUAUAUCUUAUUAUAUAUAACGACUAAGCUUGAAUAUUAAUAAAUAAAAAGUGAGGCAUACGAGACUCCCUUUUAUUUACAGAUUAAGAAAUAUAUAUAUAAAAAAACUAAGCUUGAAUAUUGAUGCAUUUUAGCUAAAUAAUUUGUAAUCGGUUGUGUUUGUAUUUGCUUUUAUAGUACUAUUGUACUCAAGAUUGAUAGUCGUUGACUUAUGAUUUUGUGUUUGUGUGUCAAAAAUUAAAUCUAUCUUUUCUAAUUUGUUGAGUAACUAGAAAGCCAAAAAAACAUUUGCUUCUACAGUGUAUUUGGUAGGAAGGAAAAUGUUUUCCAUUUCUUUUGAAAAAAAAAGUAAUUUUUUACUUAUUUUUUAGUAUUUAAUAAUCGUUUUUUUUUUUUAUUUUAUUGGCUUGCCAUCUUAAUGCACAGGCAAGUGUAUAUAAUCGCAAGUAAUACAACGAUUAUAAGCACUAUUACUACGCAGAGAACAAGUAUUUUCACAAGAGAGUGAUUUAUUUUACUACUUUUAAUUUGCAUUAUUUAAAGAUUAAUUUACUAAUGAUCGAUUGGAUAGAUAGGUUAACGGUUAACACAAUAUAAGACAAAUUUCAGGAUUAUGGUGCCUCUAUAUACUAACUAACGUUGUGUCUACAUCUUUGUUAUCAUGCUAGUGAAAAGUGACAGGCAGGGGCGGAGCUAUCCUUGUUCGGGGUGUCAAGCGACAUUCCUUCAUUAGAAAAUUACAUUGUAUAGAUAGAUCAAAUAUAUUAAUGUUGACACCUCUUGACAUAGGGUAAAUAGUUCAGCUCAGUGUUUAAGGGGCUGCAAAAGCUCUCGAUGGUUGAGUGUUUGAUACUGGCUCAAGUU